rnacentral:rRNA from 1 species
CCUACGGGUGGCUGCAGUAGGGAAUAUUGCUCAAUGGGGGAAACCCUGAAGCAGCAACGCCGCGUGGAGGAUGAAGGUUUUAGGAUUGUAAACUCCUUUUGUUAGAGAAGAUUAUGACGGUAUCUAACGAAUAAGCACCGGCUAACUCCGUGCCAGCAGCCGCGGUAAUACGGAGGGUGCAAGCGUUACUCGGAAUCACUGGGCGGAACGAGUGCGUAGGCGGGGUAAUAAGUCAGCUGGUAAAUCCUGUAGCUUAACUACAGAACUGCAUUUGAAACUGUUACUCUGGAGUUUGGGAGAGGUAGGUGUAAUUCUUGGUGUAGGGGUAAAAUCCGUCGAGAUCAAGAGGAAUACUCCUUGCGCAGGCGCCCUGCUGGACCAUGACUGACGCUGAUGCACGAACGCGUGGGGAGCAAACAGGAUUAGAUACCCUUGUAGUC